rnacentral:rRNA from 1 species
GGAAUUGACGGGACCGCACAAGCGGUGGAUGAUGUGGAUUAAUUCGAUGCAACGCGAAAACCUUACCUACCCUUGACAUGUCCGGAAUCCCGAAGAGAUUUGGGAGUGCUCGCAAGAGAACCGGAACACAGGUGCUGCAUGGCUGUCGUCAGCUCGUGUCGUGAGAUGUUGGGUUAAGUCCCGCAACGAGCGCAACCCUUGUCAUUAGUUGCCAUCAUUUGGUUGGGCACUCUAAUGAGACUGCCGGUGACAAACCGGAGGAAGGUGGGGAUGACGUCAAGUCCUCAUGGCCCUUAUAGGUGGGGCUACACACGUCAUACAAUGGAUGGUACAAAGGGUCGCCAACCCGCGAGGGGGGAGCCAAUCCCAUAAAGCCAUUCGUAGUCCGGAUCGCAGUCUGCAACUCGACUGCGUGAAGUCGGAAUCGCUAGUAAUCGUGGAUCAGAAUGUCACGGUGAAUACGUUCCCGGGUCUU